rnacentral:tRNA from 1 species
CAAAACGUAGCUUAACCUAAAGCACCUGGCUUACACCCAGAAAAUAUCGUCUGACGAUCGUUUUGA